UUUGGAUGUAGCUCAGUGGUAAAGUGUUUAUCUUGUGUGCAUGAAACCCUGGGUUUGAACCCCAGUUCCAAAA
rnacentral:tRNA from 1 species